rnacentral:rRNA from 1 species
GAUGAACGCUGGCGGCGUGCCUAAUACAUGCAAGUCGAGCGAACAGAUGAGAAGCUUGCUUCUCUGAUGUUAGCGGCGGACGGGUGAGUAACACGUGGGUAACCUACCUAUAAGACUGGGAUAACUCCGGGAAACCGGGGCUAAUACCGGAUAAUAUUUUGAACCGCAUGGUUCAAUAGUGAAAGACGUUUUCGGCUGUCACCUAUAGAUGGACCAGCGCCGUAUUAGCUCGUUGGUAAGGUAACGGCUUACCAAGGCGACGAUACGUAGCCGGCCUGAGAUGGUGAUCGGCCACACUGGAACUGAGACACGGUCCAGACUCCUACGGGAGGCAGCAGUAGGGAAUCUUCCGCAAUGGGCGAAAGCCUGACGGAGCAACGCCGCGUGAGUGAUGAAGGUCUUCGGAUCGUAAAACUCUGUUGUUAGGGAAGAACAAAUUUGUUAGUAACUGAACAAGUCUUGACGGUACCUAACCAGAAAGCCACGGCUAACUACGUGCCAGCAGCCGCCGUAA